rnacentral:misc_RNA from 1 species
GUAGGUGAACCUGCGGAAGGAUCAUUACAGAGUUCAUGCCCUUACGGGUAGACUUCCCACCCUUGAAUUAUAUAACUUUGUUGCUUUGGCAGCCCUCACCGACUGCUAGAGAAUAAACCAAACUCUUUUUAAAUAUAUCGUCUGAGUACUGUAAAAUAGUUAAAACUUUCAACAACGGAUCUCUUGGUUCUG